UUGAUUCGCUUCGAUUCGAGGGAGGAGGGGAGCACAGCGAUUUCUUCUCUCUCUUUCGCCGUCGCAUUCGCCUCGCGCCGCGCCGCGCACAAUCCCAUCCGCUGCUGCCCAAGGCUUGUUUCGCGGAUUCGGAUUGGUGCUGACUCGCUCCCGAUUGGCACCGGGAGGUAUGAAUUCUCGCUAGGAUUUCGGUGGGCGGAUUGCUGACGAGGAGAGGGUUGGGGGGAG
rnacentral:lncRNA from 1 species